rnacentral:rRNA from 1 species
GACGAACGCUGGCGGCGUGCUUAACACAUGCAAGUCGAACGGACAGACAGAGAGCUUGCUCUCUUGAAGUUAGUGGCGAACGGGUGAGUAACGCGUAAUCAACCUGCCCUUCAGAGGGGGAUAACAACGGGAAACCGUUGCUAAUACCGCGUACGAUUCAUGAACGGCAUCGUUUAUGAAUGAAAGGUGGCCUCUAUGUAUAAGCUAUCGCUGAAGGAGGGGAUUGCGUCUGAUUAGCUAGUUGGAGGGGUGACGGCCCACCAAGGCAAUGACCAGUGUCCGGUCUGAGAGGAUGAACGGCCACAUUGGGACUGAGACACGGCCCAAACUCCUACGGGAGGCAGCAGUGGGGAAUCUUCCGCAAUGGACGAAAGUCUGACGGAGCAACGCCGCGUGAGUGAUGAAGGUCUUCGGAUUGUAAAGCUCUGAUAAUCGGGACGAAAGAGUUCUGCGUGAAUAAUGCAGAAAAGUGACGGUACCGGAAUAGAAAGCCACGGCUAACUACGUGCCAGCCGCCGCAGUAA